rnacentral:lncRNA from 1 species
UCCAUCUCUCUGUCUAUCUGCAUGUAGACACACACAUUCUGUAUCUGAGUUGUACAUGUAUGAGCUUUGGAAAAUAGUACAUUCCAUAAGAUUUCUAAAGAAUUGUUAAUAGAGUUAGCUUUAGAGAAUAGAAUCAGGAAUGGUAGCAGGCUUUGAUACUGUUUAUUUCCUCCUGUGAACAUGUGUUAUUUUUAUAAUCCAAAAGAAACAAAAGAGGAGUGAAAGAUGGACCUGUCUUUGUGCUUGCUGCAGAGCGCUUGACUCGUCCUGAGUACACAGCCUGCAGUUUCUCACUUGCUGCCAGAUUUCCUGCCCUCCUGGUCUCCUGGGCUCUUGCUUGUCAAUACAAAAAUUUCCUCUCUGGUGGGACUGUAGACCCAAUGGAGGGUGAGGUGAGGAUGAAGAUCAGGUGAGGGUUGAAGGAUAGGGUUACUGCCUGUCCUCCCACCCCACCCCAAAUCCCUCCCAUUACCUGCCCUGCCCUCCAAGAGGGCCUACCAAAAGUAACUAGCUCCUCCAAUGACCUGGCUCUGCAAAAGCCACAUAAAAGCCAGACCCUUGAGGCGGCCUGCCGCCCUUUUGCCCCCAAAGAUGUGUCCCUCUGGGGCUGAAUAAAGCAUCGCUGGUCCAUGAGGUCUCCCUGUCUCCCUUUUUCUUUUGCUUUUUGUAUUCUGUGCUUUCAAGGGUGAAGGGGCCAGC